AGAGCCCACCUCAGGGAGGUCCUGGCUUCAAUGUCAAGAAAACCAUGAUACAACGCAACUGGAGAUAAGAGGAAACUGGAGUCCACCUUAGGUCCUUCCGCACAGGAAUUUGUACAACCACAGGGAAAGCAAGAGCAUGUCAUCUCUGUUCUUGAGGAGCACCAAAAGCCUGGUGAGAGAGCUGGGCAGGAAGGGUGAGCUGGUGCCGGUAGACAGCCUGAACAGUUCACAGCGCCUGCGCCCCUUCUGCCUGGUGAGGAAGAAGCACAAGCAUUCCCUCUGGCCUUGGGACACACCCCUCAUCCCCACAGACUUCUCCCUGCUGGAUGUGCUGGAGCCUGGCUGCCCUGACCCAGAGGUGAACCACAGCAAGCCCAUCUAUUCCUGGGAGAAGGAGGCAGAGGGAUUGACAGGAGCUGUGAGCGUGAGUGCUGGGCUGCAGAGCCAGGUGACUGGAAGCGGCACGACCACCUGCCUCUCUGCCUUGGCGGUGCAGACACUCUGGGUCUCCCCGUUUACCUGGGAGAUGCUUCUUGAGAAAAGGAAACUGAGGUCGCCUAGGCCCUCGUUCCUCCAGGAACUACAGAGCCGGAAGGAGAGGGAGAGCCUAUAUGUGGUGACCGAGGCUGUGGAGACCCUGCAAGAUACCAUACUUCAGAGCCACGACCAAAUGCGAGGAGCCGGACAGCUGUCCCUCCUACAGCUGGGCCAUGUUCAGGUCCAGGGACAGAGCCAUGUGGACACAGAGAAGAUGGUGAGCAUCCCACAGGGCA
rnacentral:lncRNA from 1 species